GUGAAUCAUCAAAUUUUUGAACGCAAAUUGCACUCCCUUGUAUGCCGAGGAGUAUGCCUGUUUGAGGGUCGUUAGAACAAGAAUCGUAGCGUCGCUCUUUUUUUUUGAGGGUUAGCUCGUCUUAAUUUAGCCUACUUUCAAAGGUUAAUUCAUGUCAAAUUUUCUGGAAAUUCAUCCAUCCGGUACGAUUAAAUCUUAUUUAAUAUCAAUUUUGAUUAAGAACGCGCGAUGAACGUACCAUCUCAUGUGGUACGUUUGACUUAACGUCGUCAGGAUUACUCGUAAACUAUACUCA
rnacentral:misc_RNA from 1 species